rnacentral:rRNA from 1 species
UACGUAGGGGGCAAGCGUUGUCCGGAUUUAUUGGGCGUAAAGAGCGUGUAGGCGGCUAGAUAGGUCCGUUGUGAAAACUCGAGGCUCAACCUCGAGACGCCGGUGGAAACCAUCUAGCUAGAGUCCGGAAGAGGAGAGUGGAAUUCCUGGUGUAGCGGUGAAAUGCGCAGAUAUCAGGAAGAACACCCGUGGCGAAGGCGGCUCUCUGGCCCGAUACUGACGCUGAGGCACGAAAGCGUGGGGAGCAAACAGG